ACGGAGGCAGCAGUGGGGAUAUGCACAAUGGGCGAAAGCUGAUGCAGCACGCGCGUGAGGGACGACGGCUUCGGGUUGUAAACUCUUUUAGCAAGGAAGAAGCGAAAGUGACGGUACUUGCAGAAAAAGCGCCGGCUAACUACGUGCCAGCAGCCGCGGUAAUACGUAGGGCGCAAGCGUUAUCCGGAAUUAUUGGGCGUAAAGAGCUCGUAGGCGGUUUGUCGCGUCUGCUGUGAAAACCCGAGGCUCAACCUCGGGCCUGCAGUGGGUACGGGCAGACUAGAGUGCGGUAGGGGAGAUUGGAACUCCUGGUGUAGCGGUGGAAUGCGCAGAUAUCAGGAAGAACACCGAUGGCGAAGGCAGAUCUCUGGGCCGUAACUGACGCUGAGGAGCGAAAGGGUGGGGAGCAAACAGGCUUAGAUACCCUGGUAGUCCACCCCGUAAACGUUGGGAACUAGUUGUGGGGUCCAUUCCACGGAUUCCGUGACGCAGCUAACGCAUUAAGUUCCCCGCCUGGGGAGUACGGCCGCAAGGCUAAAACUCAAAGGAAUUGACGGGGACCCGCACAAGCGGCGGAGCAUGCGGAUUAAUUCGAUGCAACGCGAAGAACCUUACCAAGGCUUGACAUAUAGAGGAAACGUCUGGAAACAGUCGCCCCGCAAGGUCUCUAUACAGGUGGUGCAUGGUUGUCGUCAGCUCGUGUCGUGAGAUGUUGGGUUAAGUCCCGCAACGAGCGCAACCCUCGUUCUAUGUUGCCAGCACGUAAUGGUGGGAACUCAUGGGAUACUGCCGGGGUCAACUCGGAGGAAGGUGGGGAUGACGUCAAAUCAUCAUGCCCCUUAUGUCUUGGGCUUCACGCAUGCUACAAUGGCCGGUACAAAGGGCUGCAAUACCGUAAGGUGGAGCGAAUCCCAAAAAGCCGGUCCCAGUUCGGAUUGAGGUCUGCAACUCGACCUCAUGAAGUCGGAGUCGCUAGUAAUCGCAGAUCAGCAACGCUGCGGUGAAUACGUUCCCGGGUCUUGUACACACCGCCCGUCAAGUAGGACAGGUCUAGUUUG
rnacentral:rRNA from 1 species